ACUAAAUUAACUCGAUGAAAGAGAACAUCUUAUAAAAGUCUUACUUGCAUAUCAAAGAUGGUUCUCUAAGUGAGAGUUGUGCAAGUAAUCCUUAGACAUGAGAUCAUCAUAAAAUCUUGUGCACAUGAAUCCAUAUUUUGGUUCAUACUCUAGCAUGGCAUUAAGACAUGUACGGGUGUUCUAGAUAUGGAGUGUGUAUGAAGGUUGUGAAUAUAUCAAUAUAGAAUCAAUCACUCCUAGUAAGAGGAGAUUGCAUCCUGUGUAUUCUCAUUCCUAGAUGACCCAA
rnacentral:lncRNA from 1 species